rnacentral:lncRNA from 1 species
UUUUCAUUUAGAGUUUAAUAUCUUAGAGUUACUGACUGGAUGGUUUUCUGUAAAUCUUUAUUUGGCUAUUUACCUCUGGGCUUCAGGAGCUACAAAACAGAGAGAACAGUUAAAAUCAUCCCCCAAAGCCAUAGAGGAAGUUUGAUGACACAUGUGAACAUCUCUGCAGUGGAAGAAGCACGUGAUUCCUUGUCUCGCUCUGCAUCCACAUGGCUGGUGAGCUACCGUUGGUCCCAUAGUAAGUUAACAGUAUAUUCAGGUGUCCGAGCUUGUUUUUUUUUUUCAAACUACUUCAUUUGUGUUAUAAAACAGCAUUCCUUCUCCCUGUUCAACUACCUACUGAGGCAUUCAAACUGGCCAAGACACAUCUAUCUGGUGAAAUUUUGGCUGAGAGUGUUCCUCCAAACACUGUAAAAUCUAUUUUCAGAUGAAGCCAGAUCAGCAAAA